GAUGAACGCUGGCGGCGUGCUUAACACAUGCAAGUCGAACGGGAUCCAAGGGGUGCUUGCACUUUUUGGUGAGAGUGGCGAACGGGUGAGUAACACGUGAGUAACCUGUCCUUUUCUUUGGGAUAAGCAUUCGAAAGGGUGUUUAAUACCUUAUGUUCUGUCUGCCUCGCAUGGGGUGGGUGGGAAAGGCUUUGGCCGGAUUUGGGUGGGCUCGCGGUCUAUCAGCUUGUUGGUGGGGUGAUGGCUUACCAAGGCUUUGACGGGUAGCCGGCCUGAGAGGGUGGUCGGGCACAUUGGGACUGAGAUACGGCGCAGACUCCUGCGGGAGGCAGCAGUGGGGGAUAUUGCACAAUGGGCGAAAGCCUGAUGCAGCGACGCCGCGUGGGGGAUGAAGGCCUUCGGGUUGUAAACUUCUGUUGCUCUGAACAAGGCAUGCCAGUGGGUGUGUUGAGUGUAGGGGUUGAUUAGCGCCGGCUAACUACGUG
rnacentral:rRNA from 1 species